rnacentral:lncRNA from 1 species
CAGCAAUGGGGACAGGGACAUGGAUGGGAGAGGACAGGUUGGGUUGGGGAUGUGGAUGAGGUGGGACAGGAAUGGGACAGCACGGGGACAGGGACAAUAAAGGGAUGGGACAAUAAAGGGAUGGGACAAUAAAGGGAUGGGGACAGAGAUCGAGUGAGGAUGUGGAUGGAAUAGGACAGGAGAGAGAUGGGGACAGGGACAUGGAUGGGAUGGGGACAAGGAUGGUAUGGGGACAUGGAUGGAGUGAGACAGGAUAGGGACAGGGACGUGGAAGGGAGGGGACAGGUUGGGUUGGGGACGUGGAUGAGGUGGGACAGGGAUGGGACAGCACGGGGACAGGGACAUGGACGGGAUGGGGACAUGGAUGGGAUGGGACAGUAAAGGGAUGGGGACAGAGGUGGAGCGAGGAUGUGGAUGGAAUAGGACAGGACAGGGAUGGGGACAGGGAUGGGGAUGUGGAUGGGGACACAGAGAGCAAGGAUGUGGAUGGAUUAGGAGAGGAUAAAGUUGGGGACAGGGACAUGGAUGGGGACAGGGAUGGGGACAUGGAUGGGACAGACACAGGGAAGGGGUGGGCACAGCGUGGGGAAAGGGACAGGACGGGAGCUGGGGACAGGGACAGGGAUGGGGACAGGGACGUGGAUGGCAUGGGACAGGAUGGGAAUGGGGGACAUGGGAUGGGAUGGGAUGGGACAUGGCUAGAGACAGGGAUGGGGACAUGGAUGGGACAGACACAAGGAAGGGGUGGACAGUGCGUGGGGAACGGGACAGGACGGGAGCUGGGGACAGGGACGUGGGAUGGGGCCGGGCGGGGGCUGUCCCCACGCGGGGGUGUCCCCGCGUCCCCCAACGCCGCCGUCCUCGCAGUGCCCGGUGCUGAAGGGACGCGUGCAGAAGAUCCUGUACUGGCGGUGGGGGGAGCCGCCCCCGCCCGUGGCCGUGCCUCCCCCCGAGGGCCCCCCCGAGGGCCCCCCCAAAGUGCUGCAGGGCCGCUCGGAGCGAGAGUUCUUCGUCAAAUGGGUGGGGCUGUCCUACUGGCACUGCUCCUGGAUCAAGGAGCUGCAGGUACCGGGGG